rnacentral:tRNA from 1 species
UAGAAUAUAGUGUAAUGGUAGCACAAGAAGUUUGAGUUCUUAGAUUAGGUUCAAGUCCUAUGAUUCUAG